ACGCACGCUGGCGGCGUGCUUAACCCAUGCCAGUCGAACGGAAAGGCCUCUUUCGGGGGGUACUCGAGUGGCGAACGGGUGAGUAACACGUGAGUAACCUGCCCUUGACUUUGGGAUAACUUCAGGAAACUGGGGCUAAUACCGGAUAGGAGCUCCUGCUGCAUGGUGGGGGUUGGAAAGUUUCGGCGGUUGGGGAUGGACUCGCGGCUUAUCAGCUUGUUGGUGGGGUAGUGGCUUACCAAGGCUUUGACGGGUAGCCGGCCUGAGAGGGUGACCGGCCACAUUGGGACUGAGAUACGGCCCAGACUCCUACGGGAGGCAGCAGGGGGGAAUAUUGCACAAUGGGUGGAAGCCUGAUGCAGCAACGCCGUGUGCGGGAUGACGGCCUUCGGGUUGUAAACCGCUUUCGCUCAUGACGAAGCUUUGUGUGACGGUAGUGGGUAAAGAAGCACCGGCUAACUACGUG
rnacentral:rRNA from 1 species